rnacentral:rRNA from 1 species
CGAUAAGUAAUGCGAAUUGCAGAAUUCAGCGAGCCAUCGAAUCUUUGAACGCACAUUGCGCCCGCCAGCAUUCUGGCGGGCAUGCCUGUCCGAGCGUCAUUUCCUCCCUCACGCAGCGCGCCUGCGUGGUGUUGGGGCGUUCUGCGGCCAGGCCUGCGCCCA